AGUGUAUCAUAAUUUAUUCUCUUCUCAAGUAAGGCAGAACUUCCAGUCUGAAAAAGGCUGAAGUUAGGUGUGCUGGAGAGAUGCCACAGGCUUGGGAGCUGGAACACAGAAGCAGAUCCUGUUUCCAGGGAGCACGCUGACACUGGUGCUUUCGAAAAUAAAGCAGCUUCAUUCAACUCACGCUUUGCAGUCAAGAACACUGGGCCAUUCUGACUCUCCUCCAAAUGAAGACGGGAAGAUGACUUUCAACCCAUCGACCAAUGAGAAGAAACGAGACAUCCCACCCCAUUAAGCGAACAGAAGACACGGUAACCGGAAGGCAGAGAAUCUAGAUUUGCUACCCUGACUUGAAGGGCUCUCCAUCUCACAAUGCUGUGACUUGACAAAGCCGGCGUUUCCAGGGUCCCAGUAAGCACACGUAUGGGGAGAUGCCAGGCUCCAGCACGCAGCCCAAACUGUCCUGUGUAAAGCUGAACUUAAGAAAAUAAUCGGGCCGGAAACGGGAGUAUGCCUUUGGUCCCUGCUUCUUGGGAGGCUGGUACGUGAACAUCGCUUGAGCAAGGGAGUUGAAGGCUGGACUGAGC